CUACGGGGUGCUGCAGUGAGGAAUUUUGCGCAAUGGGGGAAACCCUGACGCAGCAACGCCGCGUGAGCGAAGAAGGCCCUCGGGUCGUAAAGCUCUGUCAAGUGGGAAAAAAAUUUUUUGAUCAAUAGUCAAAAGACUUGAUGGUACCACUGGAGGAAGCACCGGCUAACUCCGUGCCAGCAGCCGCGGUAAUACGGAGGGUGCGAGCGUUGUUCGGAUUUACUGGGCGUAAAGAGCGUGUAGGCGGUUUAGCAAGUCAGAUGUGAAAGCCCUGGGCUCAACCCGGGAAGUGCAUUUGAAACUGCUUCACUAGAGUAUGGGAGAGGAGAUUGGAAUUCCUGGUGUAGAGGUGAAAUUCGUAGAUAUCAGGAGGGACACCCGUGGCGAAGGCGAUUCUCUGGACCAAUACUGACGCUGAGACGCGAAAGCGUGGGGAGCAAACAGGAUUAGAUACCCUUGUAGUC
rnacentral:rRNA from 1 species